rnacentral:rRNA from 1 species
GACAGAGGCCCCAAGCGUUAGGCGGAAUCACUGGGCUUAAAGCGUGUGUAGGCGGACGCCUAAGUGUCUUGUGAAAUCCCACGGCUCACCCGUGGAACUGCUGGGCAUACUGGGCGUCUUGGGCCAACUAGGGGCAGCCGGAACAAGCGGUGGAGCGGUGAAAUGCGUAGAUAUCGCUUGGAACGCCGAAGGUGAAAACAGGCUGCUGGGGUUGCGCCGACGCUGAGACACGAAAGCCAGGGGAGCAAACGGG